rnacentral:rRNA from 1 species
UACGUAGGGGGCAAGCGUUGUCCGGAAUCAUUGGGCGUAAAGCGCGUGUAGGCGGCUUCGUAAGUCCGUUGUGAAAGUCCAGGGCUCAACCCCGGAAUGCCGAUGGAUACUGCGGAGCUAGAGUCCGGAAGAGGCGAGUGGAAUUCCCGGUGUAGCGGUGAAAUGCGCAGAUAUCGGGAGGAACACCUAUGGCGAAGGCAGCUCGCUGGGACGUUACUGACGCUGAGACGCGAAAGCGUGGGGAGCAAACAGG